rnacentral:misc_RNA from 1 species
GUGAGUCAUCGAAUCUUUGAACGCACAUUGCGCCCCUCGGUAUUCCGACGGGCACGCCUGCGUGAACGUCAUUAAAACACUCGAGCCCGGCUCGGUGAUGGGGUUGGCCCGAGAGGGCCUCCGCCCGCAAGCGAACGUGGUCGGCGGAGGGAAGAGUCCGAGUAGUGAACACGCCUCGACGCUCCUCUCCUCCCUGCCCCCUUCAACAUCAUCCUUGACUUCACGUCAGACGAGGUUACCCGCUGAACUUAAGCAUAUCAAUAAGCGGAGGA